rnacentral:rRNA from 1 species
GACGAACGCUGGCGGCGUGCUUAACACAUGCAAGUCGAACGCUGAAGCUUGGUGCUUGCACUGGGUGGAUGAGUGGCGAACGGGUGAGUAAUACGUGAGUAACCUGCCCUUGACUCUGGGAUAAGCCUGGGAAACUGGGUCUAAUACUGGAUAUGACAUGCCACUGCAUGGUGGUGUGUGGAAAGGGUUUUACUGGUUUUGGAUGAGCUCACGGCCUAUCAGCUUGUUGGUGGGGUAAUGGCCUACCAAGGCGACGACGGGUAGCCGGCCUGAGAGGGUGACCGGCCACACUGGGACUGAGACACGGCCCAGACUCCUACGGGAGGCAGCAGUGGGGAAUAUUGCACAAUGGGCGGAAGCCUGAUGCAGCGACGCCGCGUGAGGGAUGACGGCCUUCGGGUUGUAAACCUCUUUCAGCACGGAAGAAGCGAGAGUGACGGUACGUGCAGAAGAAGCGCCGGCUAACUACGUG